rnacentral:rRNA from 1 species
GAUGAACGCUGGCGGCGUGCCUAAUACAUGCAAGUCGAGCGAACGGACGAGAAGCUUGCUUCUCUGAUGUUAGCGGCGGACGGGUGAGUAAUACGUGGAUAACCUACCUAUAAGACUGGGAUAACUUCGGGAAACCGGAGCUAAUACCGGAUGAUAUUUUGAACCGCAUGGUUCAAAAGUGAAAGACGGUCUUUCUGUCACUUAUAGAUGGAUCCGCGCUGCAUUAGCUAGUUGGUAAGGUAACGGCUUACCAAGGCAACGAUGCAUAGCCGACCUGAGAGGGUGAUCGGCCACACUGGAACUGAGACACGGUCCAGACUCCUACGGGAGGCAGCAGUAGGGAAUCUUCCGCAAUGGGCGAAAGCCUGACGGAGCAACGCCGCGUGAGUGAUGAAGGUCUUCGGAUCGUAAAACUCUGUUAUUAGGGAAGAACAUAUGUGUAAGUAACUGUGCACAUCUUGACGGUACCUAAUCAGAAAGCCACGGCUAACUACGUG